ensembl:lncRNA
AACCCCCUAAAGAGAGAUAUCUAGUAGUCAGUCACUAUCUCCUUAACCCCCGAAGAUAUCUAGUAGUCAGUCACUAUCUCCUUAACCCCCUAAAGAGAGAUAUCUAGUAGUCAGUCACUAUCUCCUUAACCCCCUAAAGAGAUAUCUAGUAUAGUCAGUCACUAUCUCCUUAACCCCCUAAAGAGAGAUAUCUAGUAGUCAGUCACUAUCUCCUUAACCCCCUAAAGAGAGAUAUCUAGUAGUCAGUCACUAUCUCCUUAACCCCCGCAAGAGAGAUAUCAAGCAGUGUUACAAGGCUUGUUGUAGUCACUAUCUCCUUAACUCCAUCCUCACCUUCUGAUGAUGCAGUAGCUUUGGCACUUGUUGUAUGAAAAGUUGUAUGAACUUUUAAUGUGGAUAAUAAAAAGGUUUUGGCACCAUAAAGAGGUCUGAAUCACCAACCCUAUUUACGGUGUAACUAGUGCCAAGAACACCCACAGCUCCCAUGGUUACGAUGCAAGUGGAUGGGCGGGGUUAGGAUCAAUAGGAGUGGUUGUAUGAUGAGGAAAUCAACAUGGAGUGUCUGGGUGCAUCUCAAUACGUGAAAAAUAGAUUUCCCUCCAUGUCUCCUUUCUGACUUUCCUUCAUCUGCAACGAUGUGAAAGAGCUAAGCAAAGUGAGAGCUCAUUUCUGGUUUUGUAUCCAUCACAUUACCUUAACUUAACACCUGUGUUUUCAGUUCAGUGCAGAUGAAGGAGAGGAAAUGAGGAGAGGGUGAGGAGUGGAGGAAGCCCCUUUAGACGAUUGGGAUGGACCCUCAAUGCAGAGACUGAGCCUAAUCUACACAGGUGCCCAGUCCCAAACCAAUACCUCAUCCCGAUCCCUAGGAUCUUGUUGGCUACCUGACAGCUUGUUUGGAUUUGUACUGCAUAUAACUCCAAGUCCUUUUAGAUUGGAGGAGUCAGGACUUUUGGAAAGGGACAAGCUAUUGGUUUGGAAUCAGGCUGUUUUGUCAUUCCCAGUCUUAUUUUUUAAUGUUUGUAAUGGAGCCUGGUUUAAAUCUUUACAGAGGCUACUAAGAGACGAACAGACAGCGUUGUUUAUAUUCUACACCAGUGCAAAAAUACUUCUCAGACUAACGUUGUUGUACGGAAUAUUAAUCUUUUUGUGUUUAUUUUCAGUUUUUUUUUUGUUUGAGUUUUGUUUACUGACUGUAGAUUUUCUAAUAUAGCUUUUUCCUUG